CAUUCUGUAUGACCUGAAUUAGGGAUUAGUUUACUCUUUCAAAUUUACUUCAAUUUGUUGGAUCUCUUAUUCAACUUAGUCAAACACCAGGGGAGGUGUGUUCAUGCAAGUGGAACCUUUUAUCUUGCUAAUUGAGUUAACUGUGAAAAGUAAAAUAUUAGGGUUUAAAAAAAAAAAAAAAAAAGCAACAACAAA